GGGGCGGGACGGGAGUUCGCGCUCCGGCGGCUUCUCGCUGAGGAGAACCGGCUCUUGCCGCUCGUUUUUGGCAGCCUGCGGGUCCCUCUCGGCCCCUUUUUUCCGUGGGUGGCUCGGCAGCAUGCCCUGUCCUCACGUCCUGCGGCUGCUGCGCGGCGGGCUGCCCCGCCUCGGCUGGGAGCUGGCGCGGCCGGCCCGCGGCUCUGCCUCGACGCCCGGGGCUGCAGACUUCAAUAGCUUUGUCGCUCGGACCAACACCUGUGGAGAGUUGCGUUCUGCUCAUGUGGGACAAGAGGUCACUCUGUAUGGAUGGAUUCAGUAUCAAAGACAAGGCCUGUUUCUGGUUUUGAGGGAUUUCCAGGGACUCACCCAGAUCAUCCUUCCACAGGAUGAGGCACAUUCCCACGUGAGGAAGCUGUUGUCCAAUGCGCCAGUGGAGUCUGUUGUGCGAGUGACUGGGAUUGUCUCUUCUCGGCCCCCAGGGCAGGAGAAUCCGAAAAUGCCAACUGGGGACAUUGAAGUGAAGGUGGAGACUGCAGAGAUCCUGAACUCCUGCAAGAAGCUGCCUUUUGAAAUCAAGGAUUUCAUCAAGAAAUCAGAGGCCUUACGCAUGCAGUAUCGCUACUUGGACCUGCGCAGCUUCCAGUUACAGUACAACUUGCGGCUGAGAUCCCAGAUAGUGAUGAGGAUGCGGGAGUAUCUGUGUAACCUCCAUGGGUUUGUGGAUGUAGAAACUCCAACGCUCUUUAAGAGAACCCCAGGGGGGGCAAAAGAAUUCCUUGUGCCCUCACGGGAAGCGGGCAAGUUUUACUCUCUGCCUCAGAGUCCUCAGCAAUUCAAGCAGCUCCUCAUGGUUGGAGGCGUGGACAGGUACUUUCAGGUUGCUCGCUGCUACCGAGAUGAAGGCUCACGGCCUGACAGGCAGCCUGAAUUCACUCAGAUAGAUAUAGAGAUGUCAUUUGUGGAUCAGGCUGGGAUCCAGGGGCUGAUAGAGGGCCUCCUGCAAUAUUCCUGGCCUCAGGAAAGAGGCACUAUUACGACUCCUUUCCCUUCCAUGACCUAUGAGGAGGCACUGGCUGACUAUGGGACUGAUAAACCAGACACCCGUUUUGGGAUGAAGAUAGUGGAUAUCAGCGAUAUUUUACGAAGAUCGGACAUUCAGUUUGUGCAGAAUGCGCUCAGUUACCCGCAUGGCACUGUCAAAGCUAUUUGUAUCCCUCAGGGAGUGAGAUACCUUAAAAAUAAAGAUCUGGAGUCAUUAAAGGAGUCUGCAAAAUCCCAGUUCAACCAGGAGGUCAUGGAUGUUAUCUGCAGGCCUGAUGGAAGCUUGAAGUCUCUGCUUACAAAGCUUCUUGGCAAGGAGCAGCAGUCAGAGCUCACCCGAGCGCUGAACGUGCAGGUGGAUGAUGUGGUACUGCUGGCAGCUGGAGAACACAAGCGAGUGUGCUCUGCAUUAGGAAGCCUACGGUUGGAGAGUGCUGACCUCCUGGAGGCGGCCGGAAUGACACUCCGUGAUCCUACAGCUUUUCACUUCCUGUGGGUGGUAGAUUUCCCACUGUUCCUCCCCAAGGAAGAGAAUCCUGCUGAACUGGAAUCUGCUCAUCACCCCUUCACUGCCCCUCAUCCUGUAGAUACCAACCUCCUCUAUUCUGACCCCACAAAGGUCCGUAGCCAGCACUAUGACCUUGUGCUGAAUGGCAAUGAAAUUGGAGGCGGCUCCAUCAGAAUUCAUGAUGCAGAACAGCAACGUUUUGUGCUGGAGAAAGUGCUGAAGGAGGACUCAGAGGUGCUUUCCCAUCUGCUCGAGGCUCUGGAGUUUGGAGCUCCUCCCCAUGGAGGAAUUGCUUUAGGACUUGACAGGCUGAUCUCUCUCAUCGUUGGUGCUCCAAGUAUCCGAGAUGUCAUCGCUUUUCCUAAGUCAUUCAGGGGACGGGACCUGAUGGGCAACGCUCCAGACUAUGUCACUCCAGAAGAAUUAGAGCCAUAUCACAUCCAGGUUUCCUGGCCUGUUGCAGAAACAGAGGCAAAGAAAAACUGAUUUAUAGCCAGUGAUGUGAGCUGAGCUGUUUAAGUAGAGAUGGUUCCAACUUCUAAUACUAGCAGGCAGCUCAGAAAACAUCAGCUGUUAUGGGAGGGUCAGGGGAAUACAACCCCGCUGUGCCAUGGCAGUUUCAGAAUUGAAUGGGGAAUAGACAUGAGAGUUCUCCUGAUAGGAAUCCACCUUUGGGUUGGUAAUGGGAAGGAGAAGAAGGAAAGUGAAAUUAAAAAAACAUCAUUUCAGCAUAGGAUGUUGAGACUGUUGCCUUUGGGGUGUUAUAUUGAAGGUGGGAUUUCUUUUUCCACUCCCCAGUUCUUACAUGUCCUUUGUAAACUAUUUUUCCUCACAUCUGGAAGAGAUAGUGUACCAGCAUCUCUGGAAGAUGGUCCUGUAUUCCUGAUAAUCACUGAAUCCCUGGUAGCUGAGAACUGUUAUGACAGGGUAGUGCUGUGCUGGACAAAGCUCUGGGUACUUAAUAACGAGACUUCAGUGCAGCCAGCAAUUUGUCUCUUGCUGGAGGAUACAAGAUCAUCCAGAACUUGCCAUAGGGAGUUCAUAUUUGGCAGUGUUUCCUAUUCAAAGACGGGGAGAGGAGCGUGCGUAGCAUUUGCAACAGUUGUCCUCGUAACGCUCAUCGAACAGGAGUUGAUCUGUCUUUGGGGCCUGUGGUCCUGCAGCUUUCAGAACUCUAGUUCUGAAGUUUGACGUGACAAGAAAUCUGUGACAGCAGGACUGCCAGUGCCUUGUGAGUUCUGCAGCCUCCUGCAAACCUGCUGCUACAGCCGUGAGUGA